UGGAUGUGCGCACGUGUUUGUGUGCAGCUUGUAGUGCAAACGUGCGUGCAGAAUUCAUGCAGACAUGUGUAACUGGUCGUUUUGAGGUAGAAAAGAGUGAUGCGCGGUCAAGCUGGUAGUUGAAAGUGUCAGUCAGAGUAGAAGAGCAUUGUGUAAAAAUGCAAGUAAUAACAAAAAAGUGCAAGUCAUUAAUCGCAUCACCCUGAAAAACCUGAGUAAGGAGUGCAGCUCCUGAUGAAAGGAGGAGCACUGAAAACCAGGAAAUGAUGUUUCUGGAACAGUCUGAUGACUGAAGCUGGAUGUUUGAAGUCUCAGUGAACUGCUUGUCUUUUCCCCACAGCUCCUCCCUCAGCGAUGUAUAUGGCUAUAUGUUCUGAACAAUGUGCUGAUGUCCGUAUCAGGCAAGUCGGCCCAGCUUUACUCGCACAGCCUGCCAGCUCUGUUUGAACAGAAAGGACAUCUGCACAAGAAACACAGCAGCCUGUCGCUCAGCACCAACCGCCUCACUGAGCGGAUCAGUCUCAGAAAGUUUACCAUAUCUGUAAAGAUUCCUGACACUAAAGGUUGUAGGAGGUGCAGUGUAGCAAGAAACCCAUACACAGAUAGCACAU